AAAUCAUGAUUAAGUGUGAAAGGAUGUGGAAAUUCCUUAACAGCCGGUAGGUUGGCUUAGAAGCAGCCAUCCUUUAAAGAUAGCGUAACAGCUCACCGGUCUAAUAGAGUUUCUGCGCCGAAGAUGUAACGGGGCUAAAAUCAUAUACCGAAUCUGUGGGUUUAUAAAACUUUCGAGUUUUAUAAGCGGUAGCGGAACGUUCUGUAAGCCUGUGAAGGGAUACCCGUGAGGGAUCCUGGAGGUAUCAGAAGUGCGAAUGCUGACAUAAGUAACGAUAAAAGAAGUGAAAAACUUCUUCGCCGAAAAUCCAAGGGUUUCUGCGCAAGGUUAAUCCGCGCAGAGUUAGUCGGCACCUAAGGCGAGGGCGAAAGCCGUAGUCGAUGGAAACAAGGUUAAUAUUCCUUGACCUGAUGGUAGUGACGGAUUUCGUAAGUUGUGAGUUCUUAAUGGAUUGAACUUGCCGCGAAGAGGUCCCAAGAAAUAGCUCCAUCAUGAAGACCGUACCCGAAACCGACACAGGUAGAUUAAUAGAGUAUAUUUAGGCGCUUGAGAGAAUGAUGUUGAAGGAACUCGGCAAAAUGCUUCCGUAACUUCGGGAUAAGGAAGACCCUUUUGUAGGCAACUAUAGAAGGGUGGCACAAGCCAGGGAGAAGCGACUGUUUAUCAAAAACACAGGGCUCUGCUAACACGUAAGUGGAUGUAUAGGGUCUGACGCCUGCCCGGUGCUGGAAGGUUAAUGCGGUUGGUGCAAGCUAACUUCUGAAGCCCCAGUAAACGGCGGCCGUAACUAUAACGGUCCUAAGGUAGCGAAAUUCCUUGUCGGGUAAGUUCCGACCUGCAUGAAUGGCGUAACGAUUUCUCCGCUGUCUCCAACAUCAACUCAGUGAAAUUGAAUUCUCCGUGAAGAUGCGGAGUUCGCGUAGUUAGACGGAAAGACCCCGUGCACCUUUACUGCAACUUUACAUUGGUGUUAGGAAAAACAUAUUUAGCAUAGGAGGGAGACUUUGAAGCAAAGGCGUCAGCUUUUGUGGAGUCACCAGUGAAAUACCUCUUUUGUUUUUCUUGAUAUCUAACUGAUUGCCGUCAUCCGGCAUCAAGACAUUGUAUGGUGGGUAGUUUGACUGGGGCGGUCGCCUCCCAAAUAGUAACGGAGGCGUGCGAAGGUAGGCUCAGAACGGUCAGAAAUCGUUCGUAGAGUGCAAUGGCAUAAGCCUGCCUGACUGUGAGACUGACAAGUCGAGCAGAGACGAAAGUCGGUCAUAGUGAUCCGGUGCUUCUGAGUGGAAGGGGCAUCGCUCAACGGAUAAAAGGUACGCCGGGGAUAACAGGCUGAUACUGCCCAAGAGUCCAUAUCGACGGCAGUGUUUGGCACCUCGAUGUCGGAGAUCGGAAGAGCACACGUCUGAACUCCAGUCA
rnacentral:rRNA from 1 species